rnacentral:tRNA from 2 species
GCGCUCUUAGCUCAAUGGAUAGAGCACCUGUCUUCGGAACAGGGGGUUGGGGGUUCGACUCCCUCAGAGCGCA